rnacentral:rRNA from 1 species
CGGUAAACGGCGGCCGUAACUAUAACGGUCCUAAGGUAGCGAAAUUCCUUGUCGGGUAAGUUCCGACCUGCACGAAUGGCGUAAUGAUGGCCAGGCUGUCUCCACCCGAGACUCAGUGAAAUUGAACUCGCUGUGAAGAUGCAGUGUACCCGCGGCAAGACGGAAAGACCCCGUGAACCUUUACUAUAGCUUGACACUGAACAUUGAGCCUUGAUGUGUAGGAUAGGUGGGAGGCUUUGAAGUGUGGACGCCAGUCUGCAUGGAGCCGACCUUGAAAUACCACCCUU